rnacentral:rRNA from 1 species
AACCAGACUCCUACGGGAGGCAGCAGUGGGGAAUAUUGCACAAUGGGAGAAACCCUGAUGCAGCGACGCCGCGUGAGUGAAGAAGUAUUUCGGUAUGUAAAGCUCUAUCAGCAGGGAAGAAGAUGACGGUACCUGAUUAAGAAGCCCCGGCUAACUACGUGCCAGCAGCCGCGGUAAUACGUAGGGGGCAAGCGUUAUCCGGAUUUACUGGGUGUAAAGGGAGCGUAGACGGUGAUGCAAGUCAGAAGUGAAAGCCCGGGGCUCAACUCCGGGACUGCUUUUGAAACUGUGUGACUGGAGUGCAGGAGAGGUAAGCGGAAUUCCUGGUGUAGCGGUGAAAUGCGUAGAUAUUAGGAGGAACACCGGUGGCGAAGGCGGCUUACUGGACUGUAACUGACGUUGAGGCUCGAAAGCGUGGGGAGCAAACAGGAUUAGAUACCCUAGUA